rnacentral:rRNA from 1 species
GAUGAACGCUGGCGGCGUGCUUAAUACAUGCAAGUCGAACGGAAAGGCCAUGCUCUUGCGGGGUGCACGAGUGGCGAACGGGUGUGUAUAACGCGUGUAUACUGUACCUGUAUUUCGGAUAACUUCACGAAACAGGGGCUCUUAUCGGAUAGGAGCUCUUGCUGCAUGGUGGUCGUUGGUAAGAUUCGGCGGUUGUGGAUGUAAUAGCGGCUUAUCCGCUUGUUGGUGAAGUAGUGGCAUACCAAGGUUGUGACGGAUAGCCGGCCUGAGAGGGUGACCGGCCACAAUGGGACUAAGAUACGGCCCAGACUCCUACGGGAGGCAGCAGGGGAGAAUAUUGCACAAUGGGCGGGAGCCUGAUGCAGCGACGCCGCGUGCGGAAUAACCGCCUUCGGGUUAUAAACCGCUUUCGCCUGUGACGAGGCGUGAUUGACGGUAAUGAGUAAAAAAGCACCGGCUAACUACGUG